rnacentral:rRNA from 1 species
ACGAAGGAUGCAAGCGUUAUCCGGAUUCAUUGGGUUUAAAGGGUGCGUAGGCGGCCUUGUAAGUCAGUGGUGAAAUCUUCUCGCUUAACGAGAAAACUGCCAUUGAUACUGCUAGGCUUGAGUACAGAUGCUGUGGGCGGAAUAUGACAUGUAGUGGUGAAAUACAUAGAGAUGUCAUAGAACACCGAUUGCGAAGGCAGCUCACAAAACUGUAACUGACGCUGAGGCACGAAAGUGCGGGGAUCAAACAGGA